rnacentral:rRNA from 1 species
CUGACCUCGGAUCAGUA